rnacentral:rRNA from 1 species
CAGAGGGGGCAAGCGUUAUUCGGAAUUAUUGGGCGUAAAGGGCGCGUAGGCGGCUUGGCAAGUGGAAGGUGAAAUCCCUCGGCUUAACCGAGGAACUGCCCUCCAAACUGCUUUGCUUGAGGCCGGGAGAGGCGAGUGGAAUUCCCAGUGUAGCGGUGAAAUGCGUAGAUAUUGGGAGGAACACCAGUGGCGAAGGCGGCUCGCUGGACCGGUUCUGACGCUGAUGCGCGAAAGCGUGGGGAGCAAACGGGAUUAGAUACCCCGGUAGUCCACGCUGUAAACGAUGAGUGCUUGGUGUAGCGGGUAUCGACCCCUGCUGUGCCGAAGUCAACACAUUAAGCACUCCGCCUGGGGAGUACGGUCGCAAGGCUG